rnacentral:rRNA from 1 species
GAUGAACGCUAGCGGCAGGCUUAACACAUGCAAGUCGAGGGGUAUAGUUCUUCGGAGCUAGAGACCGGCGCACGGGUGCGUAACGCGUAUGCAAUCUACCUUUUGCAGAGGGAUAGCCCAGAGAAAUUUGGAUUAAUACCUCAUGGUAUGUGAGAAUGGCAUCAUUUUCACAUUAAAGUCACAACGGCAAAAGGUGAGCAUGCGUCCCAGUAGCUAGUUGGUAAGGUAACGGCUUACCAAGGCAACGAUGGUUAGGGGUCCUGAGAGGGAGAUCCCCCACACUGGUACUGAGACACGGACCAGACUCCUACGGGAGGCAGCAGUGAGGAAUAUUGGACAAUGGGCGCAAGCCUGAUCCAGCCAUGCCGCGUGCAGGAUGACGGUCCUAUGGAUUGUAAACUGCUUUUGUACAGGAAGAAACACUGGUUCGUGAACCAGCUUGACGGUACUGUAAGAAUAAGGAUCGGCUAACUCCGUGCCAGCAGCCGCAGUAAGAC